rnacentral:rRNA from 1 species
UACGGAGGGUGCAAGCGUUAAUCGGAAUUACUGGGCGUAAAGCGUGCGCAGGCGGUUUGUUAAGUCUGUUGUGAAAUCCCCGAGCUCAACUUGGGAAUUGCAAUGGAUACUGGCAGGCUGGAGUAUGGUAGAGGAAGGUGGAAUUCCCGGUGUAGCAGUGAAAUGCGUAGAGAUCAGGCAGAACACCUGGGGCGAAGGCGGCCAGCUGGGCCGUCCCUGACGCUGAGGCGCGAAGGCGUGGGGAGCGAACGGG